AAUAGAUACCCUGGUAGUCCACGCCGUAAACGAUGAGUGCUAAGUGUUAGAGGGUUUCCGCCCUUUAGUGCUGCAGCUAACGCAUUAAGCACUCCGCCUGGGGAGUACGGCCGCAAGGCUGAAACUCAAAGGAAUUGACGGGGGCCCGCACAAGCGGUGGAGCAUGUGGUUUAAUCCGAAGCAACGCGAAGAACCUUACCAGGUCUUGACAUCCUCUGACACUCCUAGAGAUAGGACUUUCCCCUUCGGGGGACAGAGUGACAGGUGGUGCAUGGUUGUCGUCAGCUCGUGUCGUGAGAUGUUGGGUUAAGUCCCGCAACGAGCGCAACCCUUGAUCUUAGUUGCCAGCAUUCAGUUGGGCACUCUAAGGUGACUGCCGGUGACAAACCGGAGGAAGUGGGGAUGACGUCAAAUCAUCAUGCCCCUUAUGACCUGGGCUACGACACGUGCUACAAUGGAUGGUACAAAGGGCUGCAAGACCGCGAGGUUUAGCCAAUCCAUAAACCAUUCUCAGUUCGGAUUGC
rnacentral:rRNA from 1 species